rnacentral:rRNA from 1 species
UACGUAGGGGGCAAGCGUUGUCCGGAUUUAUUGGGCGUAAAGAGCGUGUAGGCGGCUAGAUAGGUCCGUUGUGAAAACUCGAGGCUCAACCUCGAGACGUCGAUGGAAACCAUCUGGCUAGAGUCCGGAAGAGGAGAGUGGAAUUCCUGGUGUAGCGGUGAAAUGCGCAGAUAUCAGGAAGAACACCAAUGGCGAAAGCAGCUCUCUGGGACGGUACUGACGCUGAGACGCGAAAGCGUGGGGAGCAAACAGG